rnacentral:rRNA from 1 species
UACGUAGGGGGCAAGCGUUGUCCGGAUUUAUUGGGCGUAAAGCGCGUGUAGGCGGCCAGAUAGGUCUGCUGUGAAAUCCCGAGGCUCAACCUCGGGUCUGCAGUCGAUACGAGCAAACUAGAGUGUUGCAGGGGAGACUGGAAUUCCUGGUGUAGCGGUGAAAUGCGUAGAGAUAUGGAGGAACACCAGUGGCGAAGGCGACUUUCUGGUCUGUAACUGACACUGAGGCGCGAAAGCGUGGGGAGCAAACAGG